rnacentral:tRNA from 1 species
GGGGUCGUAGUUCAUUGGCAGAACAACACGUUGACGUCGUGUGGGUAGCAGGUUCGAUUCCUGUCGGCCCCA